AUUGAACGCUGGCGGCAUGCCUUACACAUGCAAGUCGAACGGCAGCAUGGAGAGCUUGCUCUCUGAUGGCGAGUGGCGACCGGGUGAGUAAAGCAUCGGAACGUACCGUGUAGUGGGGGAUAAGGUAGCGAAAGUUACGCUAAUACCGCAUACGCACUGAGGUGGAAAGGAGGGGAUCGCAAGACCUUGAGCGAUACGAGCGGCCGGUGUCAGAUUAGCUAGUUGGUAUGGUAAAGGCCUACCAAGGGGACGAUCUGUAGCGGGUCUGCAGGGAUGAGCCGCCACACUGGGACUGAGACACGGCCCAGACUCCUACGGGAGGCAGCAGUGGGGAAUUUUGGACAAUGGGGGCAACCCUGAUCCAGCCAUGCCGCGUGAGUGAAGAAGGCCUUCGGGUUGUAAAGCGCUUUCGGCCGGGAAGAAAUCGCACAGGCUAAUACUCUGUGUGGAUGACGGUACCGGCAUAAGAAGCACCGGCUAACUACGUGCCAGCCGCCGCGGUAA
rnacentral:rRNA from 1 species